rnacentral:rRNA from 3 species
AUGAACGCUGGCGGCAUGCCUAACACAUGCAAGUCGAACGAGACCUUCGGGUCUAGUGGCGCACGGGUGCGUAACGCGUGGGAAUCUGCCCUUGGGUUCGGAAUAACAGUGAGAAAUUACUGCUAAUACCGAAUGAUGACGUAAGUCCAAAGAUUUAUCGCCCAAGGAUGAGCCCGCGUAGGAUUAGCUAGUUGGUGAGGUAAAAGCUCACCAAGGCGACGAUCCUUAGCUG